rnacentral:rRNA from 1 species
AUUGAACGCUGGCGGCAGGCUUAACACAUGCAAGUCGAGCGGGGUGAUGGUGCUUGCACUAUCACUUAGCGGCGGACGGGUGAGUAAUGCUUAGGAAUCUGCCUAUUAGUGGGGGACAACAUCUCGAAAGGGAUGCUAAUACCGCAUACGUCCUACGGGAGAAAGCAGGGGAUCACUUGUGACCUUGCGCUAAUAGAUGAGCCUAAGUCGGAUUAGCUAGUUGGUGGGGUAAAGGCCUACCAAGGCUACGACGGAUAGCUGGUCUGAGAGGAUGAUCAGCCACACUGGAACUGAGACACGGUCCAGACUCCUACGGGAGGCAGCAGUGGGGAAUCUUGCGCAAUGGACGAAAGUCUGACGCAGCGACGCCGCGUGGGUGACGAAGGCCUUCGGGUUGUAAAGCCCUGUGGGGUGGGACGAACAGCUGGGGUUCGAAUAGGGCCUUGGUCUGACGGUAUCACCUUAGCAAGCACCGGCUAACGCUGUGCCAGCAGCCGCGGUAA